UGAUAUCCUGUACUCUUACUAGGGAGGUUUAUUAGCUUCUGUACCUGCAGCAUGGAAUGCAGGUCCCCCAAGAGGGACGUCAGUACGAAAUAAUGUACUGAAUAUGUAAGGCAACAUGUACUAUAUAUGAGAUAAAAACUCAAAUGAAACCAUGUACUGCUGUAGGGUAAAAGACCACCUUUAUGAAUAUUGUGGAGUCAUGUAUCUUAUAACAAUUAUGUUACUUUACUCUUAUUACUUGAAUAAUCUGUGCACAGCAUGUAAUACAAAUGACCAGCUGAUCAGUGGUAAUUCUAUAUCAGGAUCGACCCAUGCUAGGCUUUCCUUUCACCCCUGGGAUACCCCCUGUAAUACUGGGAUUGACCCAUGCUAGGUGAUUCUUUCACCCCUGGGAUACCACCCAACAGAAGCAACUGUAUACAUAUAUCUUCUUAUUACUUUUGAGAUGAAUCUUUGGUGGUCGUAACAUUUGAGCUAUAAGACUAUAAGCAUGACAAAUGACAAGUAUGUGUCCAUGUAACAUCAUAUCAUAAUGAAAAGAGUGGGUUGUACAAUUAGUGAAACAUGUAGGACAUAAACAACGUAUGAACUUUAUUUAGCUAAAAAGAAGACUCAUAUGUCAUGGUACCCAAUGUAUGUAUGCAGCAGUGACAAUGCUCGAAUCUGGACACACAAGUACAUGUUAAAGAGUGGAGUGGUUAUGUCAAAGUUUGUAAAGAUCUCUAUGUGCCAAUGAAGACUUUGGAUUCCAUGCCAAAUAAUAAGAGAUCGAAUAGCCUUACAUACCUCGACAUAUCAACUUGUUUUUACGUCGAAAUGACUUCUUUUCUUCCAACUAUUUAUCUACAAUAUCAUGUUUUAAAGCUAGUAUUAGCAGCUAAUCAAUGCAUCUGGACAGCCCAAUCUCACAAGACACAACACUUUGGCAACAAACGUAUAACCAUCAACUCAAUGGUGUUAUUCCGACUUUCUCAAUUCUAACUGUAUUCAACCAGCAUAGAUUAUCAUAUACAUGAUGUAUACAGCCUAUAUUAGUUCUAUAACAUGCUGGCAACAGUCCAUAACUACAACACAUAACCAUUUUACAAAACGCUCAACUAAGAAGCACAACAUCUCGUCGUCUCCCUACAUUUCGUCGUUAACAAUUCAUACUUGUCCCAACUUUGAACCAGAUGCUCCCAACAUAUAUAUACAUCAAAUAAACCUUAACAUAGUCACAAAAUAGCUCAAAACGUAGGGGAAACGUGAAACAACAUCCCCCUCAACAAAACAGUCCAAUACCAGUUUGGAAGCACAUAAGAUCAUAUAAGGAUACUUGUUUCCAAAGAACUAGCAAAACAGUCCAGCAACCUUGGCAACCAUAUACACACUAUAACAUGUUAAUAACCUCAACUUUACAUCAUAUUAAAGUGAAAAAUCAGGGUAAAAAUCGUUCCAAAGCCAAGAAAACCAAACAACAACUUUCAGGACACAAGCUGUCCAGAAAUUCCUGCACAGUGAACCAGCCAACUUAUCUUGUUUUCCAUGGAAAAUUCAUAUCAAGUAUAUGGUUAUUUUUACAUACCUUAACUCCCAAGGUGUAGGUCUAAUUCAAGAACUCAAAAAGUAGCCUUUGGUUGCCUUCCAAGGUGAAGAAAUACCAAGAGAAACUUAGAGAGAAAUUCUGAAAUUUUUUGGUCUUUUCUUUGGUUAACCUAGAGCUCGGUUUUGGUCCCUUUUUAAGGAGACUUUAGACCGACUUUCUCCUAAUAUUUGUAGCUGAUUAACUCAAGUUGGUCAAUGACUAAUUUUCCCCUUUCACUUGGGCCUUUUGGAUCUCUAAAUCAAUGGGCUUUAGUGGCCCAUUUCCUUACUCUUUCUUGCACUUUGUUUGGGCUCAAUUUUGUUAGUAGUGAAUGAAUGUGGUUGGGCCUAUUAUAUAAAAAUCUUGGGCUGAACAUCUUGGCCCAAUAUAAUGUUAAACCAUUGUCUUUAAUAGCCUCCCUAACUUGGGCUUCGUUUGUCACAAGACUUGGAAAGUUUCGGCGUUAAGCCUUGUCUUCGUUCCCCUUUCUUUUUACUAACGUCUAGACUUCAAGUGAGUUCACUUAUGAAUGAAUUCUUCUCCCUCAUGUAUAUAUAAUUUUUAAGCUAAGCACACAGGUGACUCACCUGCUAGCUCCCUAAGUUCCAUAAGCAUGUCAAUGUUUUUUUUCCGUUUAAGGCCACAGUCUCUAAAUAGACUUCCAUAUAGUGCCCCAAUCUAACACUUGAACACUUGAAAAAUUUUGGUAGUAAUUAAAUCAAGUCGUAUGUCAUUUUAUGUGAACAUUACUAGUACAUGUAAAAUGUGGGGUGUUACAAAAAUUUAGAAAAAAAUACAUAUAAUAAUUUAUAUAACAUAAAAAACUCAUUAAGAGAAGAAGAAAGAGAGAUAAUUAAUAGCAUUAAUAACUUUAAUUCAGGUAUAAAUUAUAGUACAAUUAGAUAGAAUUUUACACGAAAAUUUGUAAACAAACAACUACUUUAGAAUAAAAUGAUAAACUAUGAGUAUUUAAAAUAUUGGAGACAAGAUAUGGAAGAAAUAAGAUUAGAAGAAAUUCUUAUGAAAGCGAAUUUAAUCUAAUAUUUUAGAACAAAAGAUAUAGAAUAUUUAGAAUACCUUAAAAAUAAUAUAGAAGAAUUACAAAGACCUUAGAAAAAGCUAAAGAAUACUACAGUAAAACAUUUAAUCAAAUACCAUUUAAUCACCCCCCAAGUUAUGAACAUAAAUAAAAUAAAAAUAUUUAGAGAAGUUAAGAAAUAUCCACGUACAAAUAAAAAUAGAUCCAUAGUUACAAUAGAUCUAUUAAAGUUAUCCGCACAAGAACUUUAUCAUGAUAGGAAAAUAUAUGUACUUAUAAAAAAAAUAGUAGAAGGAUAUUAUAGUAGAUACUAUACACCUAUGAUAGAACAGGAGCAGAAGCAAACUUAUGUAGAUACAACUGUUUAGUCAAAGGAUUUAAUAAUGAAGGAAGUUUAAUUACAUAUAAAGCUAAAAGUGUAAAAAUACAAAUAUGGAAUAAAAUAAUAACAAUAAAAGAAAUCUAACAUAAAUAAAAUAAAAAUAUUUAGAGAAGUUAUUGUAGGGGGUGCAGAUAACUUUAAUAGAUCUAUUGUAACUAUGGAUCUAUUUUAAUUUGUACGUGGAUAUUUCUUAACUUCUCUAAAUAUUUUUAUUUUAUUUAUGUUCAUAACUUGGGGGGUGAUUAAAUGGUAUUUGAUUAAAUGUUUUACUGUAGUAUUCUUUAGCUUUUUGUCUUAGUCUUUGUAAUUCUUCUAUAUUAUUUUUAAGGUAUUCUAAAUAUUCUAUAUCUUUUGUUCUAAAAUAUUCGAUUAAAUUCUCUUUCAUAAGAAUUUCUUCUAAUCUUAUUUCUUCCAUAUCUUGUCUCCAAUAUUUUAAAUACUCAUAGUUUAUCAUUUUAUUCUAAAGUAGUUGCUUGUUUACUAAUUUUCGUGUAAAAUUCUAUUCUAAUUGUACUUUACUAAUUUUCGUGUAAUAUUCUAUUCUAAUUGUACUAUAAUUUAUAUAUGAAUUAAGGUUAUUAAUGCUAUUAAUUAUCUCUCUUUCUUUUUCUCUUAAUGUGUUUUUUAUGUAAUAUAAACUAUUAUCUGUACUUUUUUCAAAUUUUUCUAAGGUUUCUUUUAACCAUAUUAAUUUUUCUUUUAGAUUUUCCAUUAUUUCUUUGAGUCGGUUUCGAUAAUUAAUUUCUUCAUAUAGGUCACUUUGAUUUUCUCUAAUUUUUUUAAUAUAUUCUAAUGUUUUAUUCUGAAUAAUAUCCAUCUGGGUAAUUAUCUAGGUAUAGUUGUUCUAUCCAAUUUAUAAUUUCAAUUUCAUAGUCUAAUAUUUUUUCUAAUACUAUUCUCUUAAUAUCUAUAAUUUUUAUAUUUCUAAUUAUAUAUAAGAUUAAUAUUUUAAGAUUAUCUGUCAUUUGAUUAGAUACUUUAUCAUAAUAUUUUUUAGUUUUUUAUUUUAAUCUCAUUAAUUCUUCUAUAUUUUUACUGAGAAAUUAUAUAUAUUUUAGAUUCAUUUUCCAAUAUUCUAAAUAUAUGUAAUUUAUUAUAGUUGAUGAGUGGGUUUGGUAUAUAAAUAUUUAUAAGAGUAGUUAGGUAGGUCUGGUAUAUAUAAUUAAUUCUAGUCAUAAAAUAUCUAUCAAAUAUUUUUUCCAAUAUGAUUUUUCUUAUAUCUACUAUUUCUAUAUCCUUAAGUACAUAUAAAAUAAGUAUUAUUAAUUUAUCUACUAUUUUGUCAGAUAAAUAAGUAUUCAUUUUUCAUAUGAUGUUUUUUCAAAAUAUUCCUUCAAUCAUAUACAUAACAAAAUAUGAUCAUUUUAGAUUACUAUAUACUAGAUUAUUCUUAAAUAACAUAUUCUUCGGUCGCUAUUAACAUGUAAUCUGGAUACUUUUCCCUUAAACAGCGCCUCUACUCUGGCUACUCCCCUAUCAUAGCUUUCUUGCCUCAUCGGUUUCACCUUAGGAUGACAUAGUUCUUAGAGAUUUUUCUCCUUUUCCACUUUGCUAAUAAACUUCUUAACAUGCUAUUUUUUUUUUAAUAAUUCUACUAUAAAGCAACUAACAUGAACUUAUUUUAUCAUAUCAUGAUUGUUAGAAAUUUAUGAAUUUAGCUAUUCAUAAUCAUAAAUAAAUAUACCUGUUCCGGUAGGUUUGAUAAUUCUAAGCUUUGUUCAUUCAUAGCUUUUUCCAUUGAAAUAUACCUGUUUGUAAUAACUGUUUAAAAGUUUGCUGUGAAAGAAGAGUGUUU
rnacentral:lncRNA from 1 species